rnacentral:rRNA from 1 species
CCAAUAGCGUAUAUUAAAGUUGUUGCAGUUAAAAAGCUCGUAGUUGAAUUUCGGGAUCAGCAGGUUGGUCUUGCCACUGGUAUGUACUAGCUUGCUGAUUCCUCCUUCUUGUAGAACCGUAAUGCCAUUAAUUUGGUGUUGCGGGGAAACAGGACUGUUACUUUGAAAAAAUUAGAGUGUUUAAAGCAGGCCAACGCCUGAAUACAUUAGCAUGGAAUAAUGAAAUAGGACGUUCGAACCUAUUUUGUUGGUUUCUAGGAUUGACGUAAUGAUUAAUAGGGAUAGUUGGGGGCAUUAGUAUUCAAUUGUCAGAGGUGAAAUUCUUGGAUUUAUUGAAGACUGACUACUGCGAAAGCAUUUGCCAAGGAUGUUUUCAUUAAUCAAGAACGAAAGUUAGGGGAUCGAAGACGAUCAGAUACCGUCGUAGUCUUAACCAUAAACUAUGCCGACUAGGGAUCGGAUGAUGUUAAUUUUUUAAUGACUCAUUCGGCGCCUUACG